CAGUCGCCGCGGGAAUACGUAGGGUGCAAGCGUUAAUCGGAAUUACUGGGCGUAAAGCGUGCGCAGGCGGUUUGUUAAGACAGAUGUGAAAUCCCCGGGCUCAACCUGGGAACUGCAUUUGUGACUGGCAAGCUAGAGUCUGGCAGAGGGGGGUGGAAUUCCGCGUGUAGCAGUGAAAUGCGUAGAUAUGCGGAGGAACACCGAUGGCGAAGGCAGCCCCCUGGGCCAACACUGACGCUCAUGCACGAAAGCGUGGGGAGCAAACAGGAUUAGAGACCCCUGUAGUCCCUGUCUCUUAUAC
rnacentral:rRNA from 1 species